ACAAACUGGACUCAAAACACAAAGAGAGAGAAAACAGUCCCAUCUAGGACUGGAGGAGGGCAUUAAUUAACUAAUACAUUACGGCUUUGAGUUCUGCACUCUCAUCUCUCUGCCUCAGACAGUCUGGCCAUUACCUUGACCAAGUCCCUUACGUUGGUGGCCAGCGGGAUGUCUGCCGCUGCUGGGGCCCUCUCCAGCCCGAUGUUGGAGCAGUUGACGACGCAGGAUGGCUGGGGCCCCGCCAGCGCGCAGCUGCAGUUAAUGGGACAGGGGCUGCAACUCCUGCCGCCGUCCCCCUGCGGCCCGGAGCCCCAUGCCUCCAGGCAGCAGAGCGCCACAAGCAGACUGGAAAAGAAGCUAAACCUCGGGAAGUAGACGCCAUGUUUUCGCUUGGAUAAAGUCUGUCCAUUUCCACAAGGCAUAGCUCACUCACAUCUCAUCGCCUCUGAUGUGUAAGUCCUCUCAGUCUGUAUUUCCUGAAGCGGUGCAGGGCAUGUAUUGGAGGUGUUUCCUGGGUAUUUGACUUGGCCGGGGCCCAGCCAUCCUCCCUGCAGGCAGCUGCGGCUCUGCACAAAGAAAAGAAGAGUCCCAUAAUAACUCUUGUGCUCUCUUAUCCUCAUUGGCAGCAUUUCAUUGUAGAGUUCAUACUUGCGAAGCAAAAUAUGUGUGAAUGGAAGAGUGGAUGGACCAAAUGUGAAAAAUUUGAAAAGUAAAUAGAAAAAGAUAGUGAUAGACAUCACAGAGAAAAUGAUACUGACUAUUCAUAGUGGCUUAAACAUUCGUGUCCCUUAAUCAGUAUAAAAAAAUGAUAAACCAUGACACCCUAAAAUAUUUUGUAAGAAAAUUAAGGUGGCAGGUGUUUGAGAAUACAGCUUUACAUACUUGCUUAUCAGAGAAUCUUACCUCGAGCCAUGGCGGAAGUGCAACAUCUCUGAAAGAUACAGAGACAGUUUACACAGGGAGAUUUUUUGGGCUUUUACAGUUAACAGGGACAAGGAGGGAGGGAAGUGACACAAAGGUCGAGACAAUCCAUGUCAAGUUUAAUUGCUUGACCCAUAAUUACAGUUAGAGUUUCAAAGGGCUUCACAAGCCCACAUUAUUAUAAGACACAAAAUGACUCAAACAUAUUUCAAGCACAGAGAAAAGGGUACUAGACCGUUGACCACUGAGUCACCAGAGUGCUCCCUAAAAAAGGACACAUUGAUUUUUCUAUUACUUUCAGGUCGGUAAAAUUUUGUUAAAUUGAAUCCAAUAAUCUGCCAAUCAAGUUAAUUUGACAAAAUUCUGCUCUUUAAAAUGACGGAUUCUGAACAAAAUAAAACAAACAACAUACAGCCAUGUUAGGCUAAUGUUAGCAUGCAAACAUGCUAACAAUGAUAACAUACUGAUGUUUAGCAGGUAUAAUAGCGCUUAGCACAUACUGUUAAUCAUGUAUAAUGCAGGUAUAUGUUCGCUAUCUCAGUGUGCUAGCAUGAUUUGCUAAUUAACACUAAACACAAAGUACAGUGAAAGUAAAGUUUUACUGAAAUGAGUAUUUGUCUGGUAUUUCGUCAUAAACCAAAGUAUUGGACACAUAAAAAUGAUGACUAGAUGAUGGUGCUACUGUAUAUGAAAAGGGAAUGGACCAAAGUUAUUAAAGUUCAUCCUGAGAGGGGCAUACAUAUUCCAAAUUUCAUGGCAAUUCAUCUAUCAAUACAUUUCACUCCAAAACACAAAUGUGAACCUCAUUGUGAAGGUCAGGGGAUCAACAAAGUUAUCAGGAUUCAUCCUCUGGGGAACAUGAUGUCUGUACAAAAUUUCAUGGCAAUCCAUCCAAUUGUUGUUGAGAUAUUUUAGUGUAGAUCAAAGAGGUAGACUGACUGACCGACUGACAUUGCCAUCUCUAUAACCACACUGCAGCGUGGCAAAUAACAACACAAUGAGUUAUUGACGUUGUCAUUUAACAUGUGUAUAUUUUUGCUAUAUUAUGAUAUAUAACUAUACCAGAAACACAUUCUUUAUAGUAUCAGGAUAUGGAUUUUUGUCACUAAGCCUGUAUAUGUGUUAGUUCAUCCUGAUCUAACCCCAUAUAAAUAGAACAGUGUGGACUGAUCAUAUUUGGCCAUUACAGACUAGUUGAGCUGCCCUGCUGAACCACUUCAUCCACAUGUAUGAAAUGUAGUAUUUGGUAUCUGUCUGGCCUGG